rnacentral:rRNA from 1 species
AUGUGCAUGGAGAGGGUGAUGUACGCGAAAGCAACGGUUGCAACCGGUGUACAGGGUAAAUCUUCAAUCUUUGGUUGUGCUCCCUCCUUUUUUUUUGCCUUCAGUUCUGUUUUUCCGCUGCUGCUAGUGUUUCAUCUCUGUACCAUCUGUCAAGGUGUGUUUGUACGAAUCACUGAACAUCUGACAAAGUUUACGGUAAUCAGGUGCAUGAGAUGGAGGGAGGGAGGUGGUGUUGGGUGUUUCAGUCGUGUUCUUAGUCCAAUGAGUCAACCAAUGUCCACACGCACUGGUAUUCAUGGACAAAGGGAGACAGGACAUGCAUUGGUAAUAUAUCAUUGCUGUUUUUGUGGGGUUUAA